AAGGCUGAUUUAAGCCAUUAUGCUACAAGAAGUAGUUUCGUGGAACAGACUCACGAAUAUAGGUGACGUCACACGAACUAUCACGUUGCCAAAUCGAAACAGGACUCUUCCUGGCAACACACUUGUCACAACUGAUGCAGUGCCGACGCACAUCAGUUUUCAUACCAAUCCAGAAGUAAGACUGUUCAAGCUUGGCAAAAGUCUUGGAAACCCCAAGAUGGCCUCCCAAAGGUCAGCUGAGGUCAGACGGUCGAAAACUGAUUGAAGCGAGAACAUUGUUUCUUCGAAAGUAGUUCCGAAGACAAUGAUGUCAUCCAGGAAACACAGACACUCAUUCCACUGGAGACCUCUAAGCACCAUUUCCAUAAGUCUCUCGAACACACUUGGGGCGUUACAUAGGCCGAAGGGCAUGACAUUCCACUCAAACAGUCCGUAACGUGUGACAAAGGCUGUUUUCUCUCGAUCACGAGGAUCCAUUUCUACCUGCCAGUAUCCUGCUUGCAAUCCAUUGUGCAGAACAUUUUGGCACCACCCAGACUGUCAAUACAGUCUGCAAUGCGAGGUAGGGGGUAGGAAUCUUUCCGAGAAACCUCAUUUACGAGCCUAAAAUCACAACAAUAUCUCCAACGGCCAUCCUUGCGUUGCACAAGAACUGUCGGGGAAGCCCAAGGACUAUUCGAGGGACUGAUUACACCUUGCUCUAACAUUCGAGCCACUUCUUUCUCCUCCGCCUCUUGCCUCGCCAGCGUCUGACGACGUGGAGCCUGUUUGAUAGGUCUCGCAUCACCAGUAUUGAUGCGGUGUUUAACAAGGUUAGUUCGACCAAGAUCAUCAUCAUCUUUUGCGAAUGUAUCUCUGUAUGAGUACAGGAGAUCUCUCAGCUCAUCCUGCUGCUCAGAGCUGAGGUUUGUUUUACUGCGAUCAAAUAAAUCUGUUAAAUGAUCAGGCACCUUCGAGUUUUUAACAUUUACUCGUGAUACUUUCUUUAUUUGCCUAUCUGGUACUACAUUGACACACUGACACUGACCAAUAAUUCUUCCCUUAGCUAACGUGUAUUUGGUAUGAAGAACAUUGAUAACCUUAACUGUAGCUGCCUUAUUACUAUUUGUGACUACUGAAUUUCCCAUGAUUAUACCAUGUGUGAAUAAAAUCUCCUUGCAGGGUUCUAUCAGAAUCGAGGACCGUUCCCGAUAAAGUUGAGGCAAGCUCACUUGGAUAAAAGAUACAGACUGGGGGGGCAAAGAGACAUCAUCUGCAACGAUGACAGUUGUUUCAGCUCUCACAGUUGGUAACCACCUGCCCAUCAACCAGAUCCUUGACCCAGGGAUGUCGAUCAGACCCUCCAGUCUAUCCAGUACAUCUAUACCCAGAAUGCCAUCACAAUCAUGGGAAUUAUCAACCUCUGCAACCAGGAAUUCCUCCACAGUGGGGUUCAUGUAAUCACUAAUGUGAACAGGUGCUUUGAAUAUUCCAUGUGCUUGGAAUAAGCUCCCAUUAACAGCCUCCAGAACCAUGUCAAUUGAGUUGACAGCUACUGAAGAUGGCAAGCGCUUGCUUGCGGCUGGGGAAAGUAAGGUCACCUGACUACCUGUGUCAACAAGCAAAGUGAAGUAAAUGUUGCCAACCUUAACAGUUGCAGUUAUUGACAGUAUCCACAAUUGUAUGUCACCGCGGUACCAACAGCUGCAAUUAUUGACAGUAUCCACAAUUGUAUGUCACCACAGUACCAACAGUUGCAAUGAUUGACAGUAUCCAUUUUUGUACGUCACCGCGGUACCAUCAGUUGCAAUUAUUGACAGUAUCCACAUGUAUAUGUCACCAUUGUACCAACAGUUGCAGUUAUUGACAGUGUCCAUUUUUGUAUGUCACCGCAACCAACAAUUGCAAUUAUUGACAGUAACCACAUUUGUAUGUCACUGCGGUACCAACAGCUGCAGGUAUUGACAGUAUCCACAAUUGUAUGUCACCGCGGUACCAACAGCUGCAAUUAUUGACAGUAUACACAUUUGUAUGUCACCGCGGUACCAACAGUUGCAAUUAUUAACAGUAUCCACAAGUGUACACUACACAACAGCUGUACAUACUGUACCUAUGCCACGGAAAUGCUACAUUUGUGCAUACUGUACUUUUGUCACGGCUUCGCUACAGUUGUACCUGUUGUAUCUAUGUCACGUCUACACUACAGUUGUACAUGCUGUGUAUACGUCAAGGC
rnacentral:lncRNA from 1 species